AAACGGCCGCGUUAGCGUGAGCGUGCUAAGGUAGCGUAAUAAAUAGCCUUUUAAUUGAAGGCCAGUGAAUGGCAAGACUAGGGACACCUGUACCCUGUAUUAAAAAAUAAUUUUUCAUCUGAGUGAAAAGACCCAGAUAACAAAGGAAGACGAAAAGACCCCGCGGAACUUUACCUUUUCUAGUCUUUAUAUGCUCAAAACAUAAAAACAUAAAGGUUUGAUUGGGGCAAUCUCGGAACCACCCAAACUUCCGACUUUUUUACCAAAAGUAUACAAAACUUGAUAAGGGCCAAAAAGAAGUUACCCCGGGGAUAACAGCGUAAUCCAAUUUGAGAGUACACAUCGAAAGUUGGGUUUGCGACCUCGAUGUUGGCUUAAGGAUAUCCACAUAAGUGCAAC
rnacentral:rRNA from 1 species